rnacentral:rRNA from 1 species
AGAGUUUGAUCUGGCUCAGAUUGAACGCUGGCGGCAUGCCUUACACAUGCAAGUCGAACGGCAGCACGGAGCUUGCUCUGGUGGCGAGUGGCGAACGGGUGAGUAAUAUAUCGGAACGUACCCUAAAGUGGGGGAUAACGUAGCGAAAGUUACGCUAAUACCGCAUACGAUCUAAGGAUGAAAGUGGGGGAUCGCAAGACCUCAUGCUCGUGGAGCGGCCGAUAUCUGAUUAGCUAGUUGGUAGGGUAAAAGCCUACCAAGGCAUCGAUCAGUAGCUGGUCUGAGAGGACGACCAGCCACACUGGAACUGAGACACGGUCCAGACUCCUACGGGAGGCAGCAGUGGGGAAUUUUGGACAAUGGGCGAAAGCCUGAUCCAGCAAUGCCGCGUGAGUGAAGAAGGCCUUCGGGUUGUAAAGCUCUUUUGUCAGGGAAGAAACGGUGAAGGCUAAUAUCCUUUGCUAAUGACGGUACCUGAAGAAUAAGCACCGGCUAACUACGUGCCAGCAGCCGCGGUAAUACGUAGGGUGCAAGCGUUAAUCGGGAAUUACUGGGCGUAAAGCGUGCGCAGGCGGUUUUGUAAAUUCUGAUGUGAAAUCCCCGGGGCUCAACCUGGGAAAUUGCAUUGGAGACUGCAAGGCUAGAAAUCUGGCAGAGGGGGUAGAAUUCCACGUGUAGCAGUGAAAUGCGUAGAUAUGUGGAGGAACACCGAUGGCGAAGGCAGCCCCCUGGGUCAAGAUUGACGCUCAUGCACGAAAGCGUGGGGAGCAAACAGGAUUAGAUACCCUGGUAGUCCACGCCCUAAACGAUGUCUACUAGUUGUCGGGUCUUAAUUGACUUGGUAACGCAGCUAACGCGUGAAGUAGACCGCCUGGGGAGUACGGUCGCAAGAUUAAAACUCAAAGGAAUUGACGGGGACCCGCACAAGCGGUGGAUGAUGUGGAUUAAUUCGAUGCAACGCGAAAAACCUUACCUACCCUUGACAUGGCUGGAAUCCUCGAGAGAUUGAGGAGUGCUCGAAAAAGAACCAGUACACAGGUGGUGCAUGGUUGUCGUCAGCUCGUGUCGUGAGAUGUUGGGUUAAGUCCCGCAACGAGCGCAACCCCUAUUGUUAGUUGCCAGCAUUCAGUUGGGCACUCUAAUGAGACUGCCGGUGACAAACCGGAGGAAGGUGGGGAUGACGUCAAGUCCUCAUGGCCCUUAUGGGUAGGGCUUCACACGUCAUACAAUGGUACAUACAGAGCGCCGCCAACCCGCGAGGGGGAGCUAAUCGCAGAAAGUGUAUCGUAGUCCGGAUUGUAGUCUGCAACUCGACUGCAUGAAGUUGGAAUCGCUAGUAAUCGCGGAUCAGCAUGUCGCGGUGAAUACGUUCCCGGGUCUUGUACACACCGCCCGU